rnacentral:rRNA from 1 species
CGGCGGACGGGUGAGUAAUGCUUAGGAAUCUGCCUAUUAGUGGGGGACAACAUUCCGAAAGGAAUGCUAAUUCCGCAUACGCCCUACGGGGGAAAGCAGGGGAUCUUCGGACCUUGCGCUAAUAGAUGAGCCUAAGUCGGAUUAGCUAGUUGGUGGGGUAAAGGCCUACCAAGGCGACGAUCUGUAGCGGGUCUGAGAGGAUGAUCCGCCACACUGGGACUGAGACACGGCCCAGACUCCUACGGGAGGCAGCAGUGUGGAAUAUUGGGCAAUGGGCGAAAGCCUGAUCCAGCCAUGCCGCGUGUGUGAAGAAGGCCUUUUGGUUGUAAAGCACUUUAAGCGAGGAGGAGGCUACUUGUAUUAAUACUACUGGAUAGUGGACGUUACUCGCAGAAUAAGCACCGGCUAACUCUGUGCCAGCAGCCGCGGUAAU